rnacentral:rRNA from 1 species
AACCGGCGCCUCAAGUGUUUUUCGCUUUUAUUGGGACUAAAAUUCCGUAGCCGGUCUGGUAGAUUUUUGGGUAAAUCAACCCGCUCAACUGGUUGAAUUCUGCGAGCACGGCCAGACUUGGGCCGGGAGAGGUGUGGGGUACUCUUAUGGUAGGGGUAAAAUCCUGUCAUCCUGAGAGGACCCCCUGUUGGGAAGGCGCCCCACUAAAACGGAUCCGACGGUCAGGGACAAAACCUAUGGGCACGAACCGGAUAAUAUACCCGGGUAGUCCUAGGUGUAAACGCUAUGGACUUGAUGUUGGGGGGGCUCCGAGCGCUUUCAGUGUCGAAGCGAAGGUGAUAAGUCCACUGCCUGGGGAGUACGGUCGCAAGGCUGAAAC